rnacentral:rRNA from 1 species
GGCACCGAAGACCUUCGGGUCUUCGUGUGUGGCAAGAUUACGUGCCAACCCUAAACAUACAUCCAAGUCCGAUAGCGAACAAGAACCGCGAGGGAAAGCUGAAAAGUACUCUUCAUCGAGGGUGAAAAGACUUGAAAUUUUGUAGUGACAUGAUGGUUGCGGCCCUUUGGGGUUGCAACGUACGUUUGGAAAAAUGGGCCACGGAGUGUAUCUAUGCGGCAAGGUUAAAUUGAAGCCGUAGCGAAAGCGAGUGUGAAAGCGCGCGAGUCACAUGGAUACGACCCGAAGCCGGACGAUCUACUCCUGGACAGGGGGAAGUUUUCCGAAAGGAGAAUGGACGCCCGAACCGUUGUUGUGUGCAUGCACUCGAAUGAGCUGGGAGUAGGGGUGAAAAGCCAAUCUAGUUCGGCAAUGGCUGGUUCCUGCCGAAAUAUGCCUCAGUAUAGUCUUGUCGUGUUAGCUGGCGAGGUACAGUACGGAUAGAGUUUGCAGAACCUUUUGGUUACGGAACUCCUUCCAACUCAGAACAUGCUAGCUGCAAGCGACAGGAAUGGGGGGUAGCGCGUAAGGUGCUAUUCCGAGACCGGAACAACGGAGACUAAUGUUAAGGUCCCUAACUGUAUAUUCAGUGUAACGAAGGGAGUCUUGAACCUAAGACAGUAGGGAGGUAGGCCCAGAAGCAGCCAUCCUUCAAAGAAAGCGUAACAGCUCACCUAUCGAGGUUCGGGGCACCGAAAAUGGACGGGGCUAAAUAUACGACCGAUACAUUAGCGGCACUCGAAAGAGUGUUCGGGUAGGCAGGCGUGCUUUUUGUGCAGAAGCGUUUCCGAGAGGAGACGUGGAACGAGAAGCAAUGAGAAUCGUGGCAAUAGUAAGAUCAAAUUAUCCUGAGAACGGAUAACGUCGUAAGGGCAAGGUUUCCUUGGCGCUAUCGUUUAACCAAGGGUUAGUCGGCACCUAAGUCACACCUUAACUGAAUGUGACGAAUGGACAUCUGGUUAAUAUUCCAGAACUGCAUGAUCUUGUUAUGGCAAAAAGAAGCUUGGGGAUAAGCGGAAGCCCGAAAGGGCUGGAAUGCGGGAAACGAGUGGAGCGUUAAGCAUUAAUGCUCGCCAACUGCAUGAGGAAAGCUGCUGAUUCCUUGAGUCCAUGAAAAACUUUUUGUCUAGAGUGAAUGUAGCCGUACCCAGAAUCGACACCGAUGCCCUAGCUUAGUAGGCUAAGACGUGAAAGGAGAAACUGAUUAAGGGAAUUCGGCAAUUUAGCCCCUUAGCUUCGGUAGAAGGGGUGUCUAUAAUCGUCUCUGAUUUAUGAGAGGCGUUCGUAGAUCGCAGUGACAAGGACUGCCCGACUGUUUAUCAAAAACGUAGCCGGUUGCCAAUCCGAAAGGACGUGUAGAACCGGUGAGACCUGCCCAGUCGUGGUGUUUCAAAUCCUGGUACAACAGGGCUAAGACCCAUGAAACGGCGGGCCUAACUAUGAGGCUCUUAAGGUAGCGUAAUGCCUUGUCGUCUGAAUGGCGACGUGCAUGAAUGGUUUAACGAGGUGGUCGCUGUCCCUAGUCAGGUCCUUCUGAAAAUACUUGGUGGUGAAAAUGCCACCGUCUUCUAGUGGGAAGCGGAGACCUUGUGGACCUUUACUGCAACUUGUUGUUGUGAUGUUAAGAAUGGUGCAUAGCAUAGGUAGGAGCGUCGAAGGUAAAUUUUAGGAUUUACUGGAGCGACCCUGUAAUACUACCCAUCGUUCUUGGCAUUGCUCACCUCCUUUGGGGGGACACCAGCAGGCGGGCAGUUUGGCUGGGGCGGCACCCUGCAGAAAAGAUAUCUGUAGGGCCCAAAGACAAGCUCAUCCAGGUUGGAAAUCUGGAGUUGAGUGCGAGGGCAAAAGCUUGUCUGACUGUGUUUCGCAUAGCAAGAAACGCAGAGAUGAAAGUCUGGCCUAGCGACCCCACGUAGCUUAGUAAUAGGGCUCGUGUGUGACAGAAAAGGUACCCCAAGGAUAACAGGCUUGUCGCGCCCGAUAGUACAUAUUGACGGCGCGGUUUGGUACAUCGCUGUCGGCUCUUCCUAUCCUGGUACUGCACAAGGUACCAAGGGUGCUGGAGUUCACAUAUUAAAAGGGAUCGUUAGCUGGGUUAAGAACGUCGCGAGACAGUUUGUAUGAUAUCUACUAGAAGUGUUGUUGUUUGAGUGGAACGAGUGCUCAGUACGAGAGGAACGGUACUCGGAUGCCUCUGGUGUAUCGGUUGUUAUGAGCAGGCCGAGCAGCUACGCAUUCAUGGAUAAGCGCUGAAAGCAUCUAAGCGCGAAGUCACCCGCAAGACGAAACAACGAAGGCCGUCAUAGAAGAUGACGUUGAUAGAGUUGCUGUGUAAUGUUCGAGGCAACGAGAAUGUAAGCAGGCAACUACUAAUAGCCUCACUCUAUUUU